rnacentral:rRNA from 1 species
ACGAACGCUGGCGGCGUGCUUAACACCUGCAAGUCGAACGGAAAGGCCCUGCUUUUGUGGGGUGCUCGAGUGGCGAACGGGUGAGUAACACGUGAGUAACCUGCCCUUGACUUUGGGAUAACUUCAGGAAACUGGGGCUAAUACCGGAUAGGAGCUCCUGCUGCAUGGUGGGGGGUGGAAAGUUUCGGCGGUUGGGGAUGGACUCGCGGCUUAUCAGCUUGUUGGUGGGGUAGUGGCUUACCAAGGCUUUGACGGGUAGCCGGCCUGAGAGGGUGACCGGCCACAUUGGGACUGAGAUACGGCCCAGACUCCUACGGGAGGCAGCAGUGGGGAAUAUUGCACAAUGGGCGGAAGCCUGAUGCAGCAACGCCGCGUGCGGGAUGACGGCCUUCGGGUUGUAAACCGCUUUCGCCUGUGACGAAGCGUGAGUGACGGUAAUGGGUAAAGAAGCACCGGCUAACUACGUG